GGGGCCCCGCACAAGCAGCGGAGCGUGUGGUUUAAUUCGAUGUUACACGAAGAACCUUACCUGGGAUUGACAUGGAGGUGGUAGGGAAGCGAAAGCGGACCGACUCUUCGGAGAGCCUUCACAGGUGCUGCAUGGCUGUCGUCAGCUCGUGCCGUGAGGUGUCGGGUUAAGUCCCGUAACGAGCGCAACCCUUGCCCUUAGUUACAAGUGUCUAGGGGGACUGCCGGCGGGAAGCCGGAGGAAGGUGGGAUGACGUCAAGUCAGCAUGGCCCUUAUAUCCAGGGCUACACACACGCUACAAUGGUCGGUACAAAGGGCAGCGAAGCCGCGAGGUGGAGCGAAUCCCAGCAAAGCCGACCGUAGUACGGAUAGCAGGCUGCAACUCGCCUGCUUGAAGCUGGAGUUGCUAGUAACCGCGCGUCAGCAUAGUGCGGUGAAUACGUUCCCGGGGCUU
rnacentral:rRNA from 1 species